GACCGACUCCAAGUUGCCCGAUGCCCAGGCCGGAUAUGAGAAGGGACUCACUGUGGCCCUAGCGGGCCACGCGGGUGCCAACCUCGUCUACGAGUCA
rnacentral:ncRNA from 1 species